rnacentral:RNase_P_RNA from 1 species
GGUGAUGAUACCUGAAUGCAGUGAGGUAAAGUCCGGGCUCCACCGGGAAAGAUGCCGGGUAAUAACCGGGCAGAAAAGGGCAGCUGUACAUUAUCUUGUGCAUAGCCCCUGAUCUGACAGACAGUGCUACAGAAAAUUACCGCCCGAGCAAUCGGGUAAGGGUGAAAAGGCAGGGUAAGAGCCUACCGCGUUUCUGGCAACAGAACGGCAUAAGUAAACCUCAUCUGGAGCAAAAUCGGAUAGCAGUUUGGAUUCCGGCCUUAUACUGCGGGUAGGUUGCUGGAGGCACUUGGUGACAGGUGUCGCGGAUAGAUGGUCACGCAUUACUUUGUAAUGUUCCAGAACCCGGCUUACCA